GGCCGCCUGGCGAAAUGGCAUCGCGUCUGACUACGAUCGUGUAUAUUAAAGGUGCGAGGUAAUCAGGAGAUUGCAGGUUCGACCCCUGCGGUGGUCA
rfam:Punctularia strigosozonata HHB-11173 SS5 unplaced genomic scaffold PTNSTscaffold_20, whole genome shotgun sequence.